AGAGUUUGAUCCUGGCUCAGGAUGAACGCUAGCUACAGGCUUAACACAUGCAAGUCGAGGGGCAGCAUGGUCUUAGCUUGCUAAGGCCGAUGGCGACCGGCGCACGGGUGAGUAACACGUAUCCAACCUGCCGUCUACUCUUGGGGAUAACCUUGCGAAAGUAAGACUAAUACCCAAUGAUAUCUCUAGAAGACAUCUGAAAGAGAUUAAAGAUUUAUCGGUGAUGGAUGGGGAUGCGUCUGAUUAGCUUGUUGGCGGGGUAACGGCCCACCAAGGCAACGAUCAGUAGGGGUUCUGAGAGGAAGGUCCCCCACAUUGGAACUGAGACACGGUCCAAACUCCUACGGGAGGCAGCA
rnacentral:rRNA from 1 species